UACGAAGGGGGCUAGCGUUGCUCGGAAUCACUGGGCGUAAAGCGCACGUAGGCGGCUUUCUAAGUCAGGGGUGAAAUCCUGGAGCUCAACUCCAGAACUGCCUUUGAUACUGGCGGCCUUGAGUCCGGGAGAGGUGAGUGGAACUGCGAGUGUAGAGGUGAAAUUCGUAGAUAUUCGCAAGAACACCAGUGGCGAAGGCGGCUCACUGGCCCGGUACUGACGCUGAGGUGCGAAAGCGUGGGGAGCAAACAGG
rnacentral:rRNA from 1 species